GACCUGGUGGUGAAAUGGAUCACACCUGCUUUGCCUGCUGGCGGAUAGAUCAAUAUUUGUGGGGGUCCCCGGUUCGAACCCGGGUCAGGUCA